rnacentral:rRNA from 1 species
UGGGGAAUAUUGCGCAAUGGGGGAAACCCUGACGCAGCGACGCCGCGUGCGGGAUGAAGGCCUUCGGUUUGUAAACCGCUUUUGAUUGGGAGCAAGCCUUUUGGGUGAGUGUACCUUUCGAAUAAGCGCCGGCUAACUACGUGCCAGCAGCCGCGGUAAUACGUAGGGCGCAAGCGUUAUCCGGAAUUAUUGGGCGUAAAGAGCUUGUAGGCGGUUCGUCGCGUCUGGUGUGAAAGCCCAUCGCUUAACGGUGGGUUUGCGCCGGGUACGGGCGGGCUAGAGUGCAGUAGGGGAGACUGGAAUUCCCGGUGUAACGGUGGAAUGUGUAGAUAUCGGGAAGAACACCAAUGGCGAAGGCAGGUCUCUGGGCUGUUACUGACGCUGAGAAGCGAAAGCGUGGGGAGCGAACAGG